rnacentral:tRNA from 1 species
GUGGAUACAGCUCGGUGGUAGAGCGCAUGCUUAGCAUGCAGGAGGUCCUGGGUUCAAUUCCUAGUACUUUCA